CCCCUGGUCACUGGUGAGCUGUCCCUGAGGAUCCCAAAGAGUCUUAACAUAAACAGAGUCCCUGAAGCUGUCUCUAAUUCCCUGGGUAAGAGCUGAUGAUACCACAAAGUGUUGGAUUGAGGUUUGUGUCUGUUUUCAAGAUGAAUGUCUACAUAAUUGUUUUCAUCGUGAGAGUAUCUGCUCUAUGACAACAGACCUUGGAAAGCUGUUCAUGAGGGAAUUGAGCAUAUCUGGCUUCUCUCCUUAUAACUGAAGAUAUUGUCAUCAUUAAAAUCCAGAGUAUAGGGAAGCUUUCUCACCUUAAGUUCUGGCAAUGUCAUCCGGAAGACUGACCACUCUCAUGCUCCUGUGCUCCACAGUGUGUCUUCUUAGGAACAAGAAAACAGUAAAAGACAAGGCAUGAAAAGGUCCAAGUGAUGUGGACCGUGUACUUGCUGACCAUCUCCACAGAGGUCCCGUGCUGUCUCUUCAUCAUCCCUGUGGCUUAGUAGUUGGAACAGCUUUCGGGAAACCAGGCUCUUGGUACCAAAGACCAUUUCUAGCUCAAACCCAUGUCCUGAGUUUGACAGCCUUCAUUUUUAUCCAAUGGGGGUGGGUAACACACGAGGAAAAAAAAAUUGGCCCUGUAAAGGGAUCCUGAAAGAAUGACAUAUUUGUCUAUGAAGUAUAAAUACGAACAGCCAUGGAGAUAUGGCCCUGUGGUGCGAGGCUUGCGCUCUGGCAACAUUCAUCUUUUGCCAGGAAACCCUAGAUUUAGUACCUGAGGGACUGGAGUUUCAAAUACCUUAUACUUUUUUUUUAAUACUCUGCCAAGAAUUUAAAUUGGUAAAAGCUGGGGACUGACAAAACUUGAUCCCCAAGAGCUUUUCUGGCACUGCUUUAUCAGAGACUACGGUGCCAUUAUUUUUAUUAUAAUUAUUAUUUUUUUCUUUGGUGGGGUGAGAGCUCAUUUAUAACCCAGUGACUUCUACUCCCAGUUGUAUUUUUUCUUAAAAAAAAAAAAUCCCCAAUGCUUAAAUAAACAGAGGCUUUGCCUCUUGCAAUGGUGUUAGAGGCUGUCAUUGGAUUUACAUGCAAGAGGUUUUCAAGUCCUUUCAUGUCUUUAGAUCAAAUCCGACAGACUUGAAAGGAGGGAACUAAUUUUAGGAUGCCUACUGCCACCAGCAGCGGCUUCUCAUGCAUCCGCACUCAGCCCUUCCACCCCUUUGGUCCCCUCCAUGCCCUGACCGCAGGCAUUGCUGCUCAGGAGUACCUUCUGCCUUAGUCAGCAACGGCGUUGGGUGUGCAGAAACAGACAGCAAGGAGGAAGAAAUGCAGGUUUGUGCUCUGCCAUCAUUUCUUAGCCGUGGAACUUUAAACAAGUGACUGUCUUGAAGUCUAAUCUACAAACUGACCAUUGGAUUUGCAUCUGAGCAUUGCUAGG
rnacentral:lncRNA from 1 species